AUUAUACCGUGAAACUGCGAAUGGCUCAUUAAAUCAGUUAUCGUUUAUUUGAUAGUACCUUACUACAUGGAUAACCGUGGUAAUUCUAGAGCUAAUACAUGCUAAAAAUCCCAACUUCGGAAGGGAUGUAUUUAUUAGAUAAAAAACCAAUGCCCUCCGGGGCUCCUUGGUGAUUCAUAAUAACUUCUCAGAUCGCAUGGCCUUGCGCCGGCGACGGUUCAUUCAAAUUUCUGCCCUAUCAACUUUCGAUGGUAAGGUAUUGGCUUACCAUGGUUUCAACGGGUAACGGGGAAUUAGGGUUCGAUUCCGGAGAGGGAGCCUGAGAAACGGCUACCACAUCCAAGGAAGGCAGCAGGCGCGCAAAUUACCCAAUCCCGAUACGGGGAGGUAGUGACAAUAAAUACUGAUACAGGGCUCUUUAGGGUCUUGUAAUUGGAAUGAGUACAAUUUAAACCUCUUAACGAGGAACAAUUGGAGGGCAAGUCUGGUGCCAGCAGCCGCGGUAAUUCCAGCUCCAAUAGCGUAUAUUAAAGUUGUUGCAGUUAAAAAGCUCGUAGUUGAACCUUUGGCCUGGCUGGCGGGUCCGCCUCACCGCGUGCACUCGUCCGGCCGGGCCUUUUCUUCUAGAGAACCGCAUGCCCUUCACUGGGUGUGUUGGGGACUAGGACUUUUACUUUGAAAAAAUUAGAGUGUUCAAAGCAGGCCUUUGCUCGAAUACGUUAGCAUGGAAUAAUAGAAUAGGACGUGCGGUCCUAUUUUGUUGGUUUCUAGGACCGCCGUAAUGAUUAAUAGGGACAGUCGGGGGCAUCAGUAUUCAAUUGUCAGAGGUGAAAUUCUUGGAUUUAUUGAAGACUAACUACUGCGAAAGCAUUUGCCAAGGAUGUUUUCAUUAAUCAGUGAACGAAAGUUAGGGGAUCGAAGACGAUCAGAUACCGUCGUAGUCUUAACCAUAAACUAUGCCGACUAGGGAUCGGGCGGUGUUACUAUUUUGACUCGCUCGGCACCUUACGAGAAAUCAAAGUGUUUGGG
rnacentral:rRNA from 1 species